AUGUUAGGAUGUGCAAGGAACUGGCCACUGCUUGUUUGCUGGAAUGGAUUGCAUUGGGCUGUAGUGAAUUUCAGUUGUUUACCUGGAAUGCACAUUCUUCAUUCCGUUCCCCAAUUUCUUGUUCCGCUGUUAGCUCUGGUCUUUGAUUCAUGUUACUGUGUUAGGAUGCACGAUGAACUGGCUACUGCUUGUUCGCUCAAAUGGAGUGGAUAUGGUUGUAGUGAAUGUCAGGCUCUGUUGAGCUACAUCUGUGUAUUCUUCCUUCCGUUCGCUAAACCAACCAUGUUCCCGUCAGGAUAUGAUUCAAACUGUCUUUGCAUUUUGGUAUCUUAG
rnacentral:rRNA from 1 species